rnacentral:lncRNA from 1 species
GGCGCCCCUCCGGCUGCGGAGCACGAGGCUGGGGCCGCGCGGCGCGGCGCGGCGCGGCGGCUCCCUCCACCCGGGGCGGCUGAAUCACGCGGCCCUCCCCCGCCGAGCUCACGGGGAAGCCGGGCCAGCCCCGCUCCCCGCGGGCAUGUGGGCGCCGCGCGGCUUUUCUCAAUGGAGCCGGCGGACGGCUGGGGCUCCUGCCGCUCCGCUAGCGCGCUGCCCCGCCGCUCUGGCUCCGUCGCGUGCAGCUCGGCAGCCCCGCUCCCUCCUUCCCGCACAUGAUGCCCCCACCCCCUUCCUCCCCCCGCUCCUCCUCCUCCUCCUCCUCGCUGCGAUCAAUGUCCCUUUUAAUCAGCCCCGCGCACCCCCCGCGCCAGCAGCUCCUCAAUGGAUACAAGCAUGGAACGUCUCAAUGGAUACAUUCUCUCGGCCAGCCAAUGGGGGCGCGCGGAAGGGCCGGUUGCCGUGGCGACGGGCCGGCUGGAACAGAUGUUUCCAAUAAGACAUCCUUCAAGCUGAUACCAGUGUUCAUCACAUGAAGGAAGAGGGGGCUAAACACUCUCCUCAGAGGACUCAUGUAGUCAGCAACGUUUUGAUAUCUACCCUUUGGACCAGAUAUACUGUUCUAGCAUUCUCACAGCAGAGAGACUCUCUGAUAGCAGCCUUCUGGGCAGUGAUGAGUAUCGAUGCUGAAUGUGAUAUGUCCAGCAAAACAAGUUACAAGCAUUUUAAAUUGCCUGUGCCUUCUGGAUGGCCAGAGAAAACCCAUGCAGUAAAUUAUUACUAAUUAAGAGGGUAUUCAGGUAUCUAUAAAUAACAACCACUUGCCUCGUAGAUUCUGUUGUUGUCCAGUGAAAGCAGAUCUCUCCCCAAAUGAAAGCAGAUCUCACUUUGGAAAGCCUUGACUCCUUCCCAGUAAUGCACUGACCCAGCAUUAUUAAUUACUGAUCAACAAUGCCAGAAAACCUUAUGUCACAGAGGGAAAAUAUCAGAUUGGCAUGUUGCAGACUGGAAGGAAUAAGAUCUCAGUUCUGCCAGCAAAAGCAGGCCCAUAUGCACCAGCAAUCAUGCCUGCAUUCAAAACUCACUAGCUUUUCAGCCCUGUUACUCACCUAUAACAUGACACUAGCCACACAUUGCAGUCCCCCAAACCACAUGUAUCAGGGUCUUCCCUUCCUGCUCCUCUUUUGUUGGCACUCGGGUUCAGUCUCCCCACCAUCCACAUGAUCCACAGGUUCUAUGGGUGAGCAGCCUUUCCAGAGCCUUCAAAACUAGACAGUUUGUUCCCUGUUUGUCAGAUACCCUAUAAGUCUUUCACUUCAUUGCAUGGUUUCUUCAUGGAAUAUAUUGUCUCAGAAGCACGGGGCAAAUUCUGGUUCCUGCCAUCAGAAAGGCCAUCAAAGAUUCUCUAAGGACCUUGAAAUCAUAUUGCCUGCAGUUCAGAACAGCUUGGAUGCUUUUCCACUUGAGAUAAGUAGCAAAGUCUCAAGCUGCCCUGGCUGAGCUCUUUUGUUGUACAGAUUUAGCAGGUUAGUGAGGUUCCAGCCCUUUGGACAGUGAAAAGUAUCCAAGUGGCAUGGCUGAGUGGUAUGUGUAGCAGAACAAGUUUUGUUCAUUUUACGCUUGCCUAUGGCUUCCGGAUGGCCAAAAAAGGCCUGUGGAUUAUUUUACUGGGUAAGUUCCAAAGACUUAUUUACAAAUAAUGAAAUUCAGAACACGCUCUGUGGGAUCUAAUGACAUAGUUAUGGAAGGAGGGAGGACUGGAUGUACUAGCAACAGUAGUAUUGAUUGGGUGUGCUUGUCCACAAAGCAAAUUAACCAUGAUUAGCAACCUACAGAUACCACAAAAUGUAUAACUAGGCUUCUGACAAUGACAGCGAUCAGGAUUCAGUUAUGAACCUUGUGUCUUUUGGGUAAAAACCUGUUCUUUAGUCAGGUAUGCUCCUGACUAAUUAAUGUGGGUUACUGGUCGCUGACUGGUAUCGGGGAAGGUGGGGGGAGGGGCACAUGCCCCCCCCAAACUCAAAAGGCACCAGACACCCAUGAAUAUGUGCAAGACAAAUUGCUUACAUCCAAUGAGCUAAACAAAGGGACACUCAGUGCCUCAUUUUCCUGUUCCUCUCCUGGAUUUAUCUAAAGUCUCAAGUAGCAGGGUGCAUGCCACAAUAUCAAAAUCAACACUAUAAACUGUUAGCUGAGCUGUCACAUAUGCAAAUGUUAAGGUGAAAUAAGCAGGAGAUCACACAUAUCCAGGAGCUCUAUAUGAUCACUUAUAUACUCAGAUACUAGUCUAUCAGGGUACAGAGGGACGUAACUAACAAUUGUAUUGAUACCAAAGAACACUGCUAUAAGCUGUUAUGAGGUGACUGUUAUGUCUGCAUGAUACAAAGCUAUUGCAUCUUUAAACAUGCUUCAUUCAGGGUCAGAGUUAGUGUGAUUUUCCUGACGUGUAUUGCUACAUGUAGAUGCAAUAGUCAGAUCAUAAUGGUGGAUAUAUGCUCUCAAGUGGCAACUCUCCCAGCUUUUUAAAGCCAUUAAAAGAUAUAUUUGUCCAUAUCUUCACCCUCUUUGGAAGAAGACUAGCUUGAUACACCGAUCUGAUACUUUGGAGAUGAUUUGAGUAACAUAAUCAACUACCUCAGGCCACAGGAGACUCUGAAUAGGGCUAUUUGUGUUUCUGGUAAAAUUGGAAGACAACUCUGUAUGUAUUGCAUCAAUAUCCUUUGAUAGCCACACAACUGUUAUAUCUUAUGUAAACUGACCUGGUUCCAGAUGCAAUAAAUACUGUUUGCAAAAGCA